UCAAUUGUAAUUUCUUAGUGAUGGAUUAAGUUUUGGGAAAUAUUGAUUAGUUUUGAAUGAAUUACAUGUCAAACUGUUUUUCUAGAGUGAACCCACUGGUGAAGGCCCUGGACCAAAUCCAAUCUGCUGAAACAGCCGACGAUAACCUCCUACUUUUCCUCCUUAAAGAGGCUUUAACAGGAAAUAACCGAACCUUUCUAAUUUACUACAUUAAUCCAGCAGGUAAGAGCUCCAAAGAAAUGAAUAUUUAAUUUAGGUAAAUAUGAUACCAGAUGUUUCCCGCUAGCAGGUCUUCUGGACGAUGAAACCCCCGCUGCUUUGGAUUUGGCGCAGAAAACCAGCAGACUGGUAACUAAAAGCACCAUGGGACGCUGGAGUCCUAAAGCAGCUGAGCGGGAGAUUCGUGAGCAGAUCUUUGAUCUCCAAAGCACGAUUCUGUCACGGGGAGAGGGUGAAGUUUCCAACAUUUACAAGCUGGCUGAGCUGACUCAAAUCCUACAGGUCUCUCAUUUGAUGAGCUAAAUGCCAGAUUAAAGUUACAUGAACUCUUUCUUAAAUUAAAACCUGAAAAAAAGCUUUGUGAUCUUUGCAACAGGCGGUUAAAAAUCAAUCAUGGAAAAAAAGGAAAGAGGAAUCCGAGAGGAUUAAAGUCCAAAUCAAGGUUUUAAUGGAUCAAGAUUUCUCCCACAUUUUCAUGUUGCAAAUCCAAAAGGCUUUUUUUUUUGCUAUUUUUUUAAAGAAUUGUUUAUCGUUUUUGCAGUGCUGUAACUCCUCAAAUCAGUUGCUGUCUAGAGGUCAUCCCACUGACCACACAGAGAUCACACAAACAAUGAGACUUCUUCAGGACAAGCUGAGACAGGAAAUGGAGGAACAUAUCAAAGUCUCAGUUGGAAUACAACGAAGCGCAGCAGCGGAGGAGGCAACUUAAGGAGGAUCAUGGGAGAUUAAUUCAGGAGGAGGUGGAGAAGAUGGAGAGAGACUUGGCACAAGAGCAACUACCGGUGAGAGAGAGACACACCGUUGCUUAACAAUCUGUCUGGUCUCUGCCUCAGCUGAUGAUGCUGAGUCGGUUAAAACUAGUCCAAGGUUUGGUUGAUUGACAAGUGAAUGCUAUUUUCCAGCAUAAUU
rnacentral:lncRNA from 1 species